UCAGCUUUCUGAUUUGUAUGCAAAUGUCUUUUCUGCUUUCUAUUUAGUUGCUGGUUUUGAUAAUGUCUGUCCUUGUUCUAACCUGGGUUUUUGUUUGCUUUCUCAUUGUUUCCCCAAGAUUCUGGAUUUUUCCUAUUCUCAUAGCAUCUCUCAUGCUAUGUUGUCUCACUUACAUCCCGAUCUCUACUUCUUGGAAAGCUAUUUUACCGGGCAUGCUUCAUUGUACAUUUUAAUUAUAACUCCUGUGCACAUGCUUCCCUAUGUAUUUUGGCAAGCAGGAUAACCUUAUGUACAUAAGAGACACUCAAUGGACUGGAGCCCCCAUUUCUGCAAGAAGGCGGCUAGAUCAGGAGCACCUCAAGCUUAGUGGGAAACCGAUUACUUAAACAAGGAGGACAGCAGAGGCUGAUUUCCUGAGUUAUGGAGACCGCAUGGAUUUACUCUUCAGAGGCAACUUUUAUCUCUGGGCCAGUUCUACAACUGGCAGAGCAAUCUUAUACAUGUCUAUUCAGAACUAAAGGCGUAAGAAGACACUCCAAAAGAAGGUCUUCAAAGAGCAAGAGUAUGAAACACACUGGAGAACUAUUUAUACAAGAUCAAAAAAGGAGACAUCCUGAGGUUUAAAAAGAGGUUGAUUUCAAGGUUUCGACAUCUGUACUUGUUGCAGCAGUGACAAACGCAGAAGACUGUACACCCUGCCCAUAAAACUGGCUGCCCUGUUGUACUAUAUUAAAUCCCCAACCCUUCCUUGUUCACCUCCCAUUCAAGUUCAUUUUGGCUUUUGUUUCAAACAGCCGCAGUAACUCAUUAUAAACUCACUUUUGGC